CCGUCACACCACGAGAGUUUGUAACACCCGAAGUCGGUGAGGUAACCUUUUAGGAGCCAGCCGCCGAAGGUGGGACAGAUGAUUGGGGUGAAGUCGUAACAAGGUAGCCGUAUCGGAAGGUGCGGCUGGAUCACCUCCUUUCUAAGGA
rnacentral:rRNA from 1 species